UAUAUUAAGAGUUUGAUCCUAGCUCAGGAUGAACGCUGGCGGCGUGGAUAAGGCAUGCAAGUCUAAAGGGUUUAGACGCAAGUUUAAAUCCUUGGCAGACGAGGUAGUAAUACAUAGGAAUCUACCCUGAAGUCGGGCAUAACCAGUCGAAAGAUUGGAUAAUUCCCGAUAGUCUCUACGGAGUAAAGAUUUAUCGCUUCAGGAAGAGCCUAUGCAAUAUCAGCUAGUUGGUAAGGUAAUGGCUUACCAAGGCUAUGACGUUUAGGGGAGGUGAGAGCCUGACCCCCACCGAUGGUACUGAGACACGGACCAUACACCUACGGGUGGCUGCAGUCGAGAAUCUUCCACAAUGGGCGAAAGCCUGAUGGAGCGACGCCGCGUGAUUGAUGAAGUCCUUCGGGAUGUAAAGAUCUUUUGUAGGGGAGAAAGUUAUUGAUAGUACUCUACGAAUAAGGGGUUGCUAAACUCGUGCCAGCAGCAGCGGUAAAACGAGUGCCCCAAGCGUUAUCCGAAAUUACUGGGCGUAAAGGGUGUGUAGGUGGCGAUGUUAGUCUUCUGUUAAAUUUCCCGGCUUAACCGGGAACUCGCAGGGGAAACGGCAUUGCUUGAGAGUGUGAGAGGCAUAUGGAACUCAUGGUGUAGGGGUGAAAUCCGUUGAUAUCAUGGGGAACACCAAAAGCGAAGGCAAUAUGCUGGCGCAUUUCUGACACUGAAACACGAAAGCGUGGGUAGCGAAUGGGAUUAGAUACCCCAGUAGUCCACGCCCUAAACGAUGAUCUCUAGCUUUUCGGAGUAUCGACCCUCUGAGAGGCGAAGCUAACGCGUUAAGAGAUCCGCCUGGGAAGUACGGCCGCAAGGCUAAAACUCAAAGGAAUAGACGGGGACUUGCACAAGCGGUGGAUCAGGUGGCUUAAUUCGACGGUAAACGAAGAACCUCACCAGGGUUUGAAAUCCAAACGAAUAUCUGCAGAAACGUAGGUAGUCUCACAAGGACGUUUGGACAGGUGAUGCAUGGCCGUCGUCAGUUCGUGGUUUGAAUUGUUCCCUUAAGUGGGGUAACGAACGCAACCCUCGUUGCCUGUUAUAUUUGUCAGGCGAGACUGCCCAGCCCAGUGCGCACGGAGUGCGCAGUUACUAGUUUUUAGUUUUUAGUUUUUAGUGAAAUAAAUAAUUAUUUUUACUAGAAACUACAAACUAUUAACUAAAAACUGUGUUCGCUUCGCGAACACCGGGCUGGGAGGAAGGCGAGGAUGACGCCAGGUCAGCAUGUCCCUCUGAUACCCUGGGCUGCACACUUGAUACAAUGGUCACUACAACAGGUCGCGACGGCGAAAGCCCGAGCCAAUCCUUAUAAAGGUGGCCUCAGUUCGGAUUGAGGGCUGCAACUCGACCUCAUGAAGCCGGAAUCGCUAGUAAUCGCGGGUCAGCUAUACCGCGGUGAAUACGUUCUCAAGUCUUGUACUCACCGCCCGUCACGUCAAGGAAGCCGAGAAUACCCGAAGUUCCUGCGUAGCAGGACCUAAGGUAAGUUUGGUGACAGGGACGAAGUCGUAACAAGGCACGGCUAGCGGAAGCUGGUCGUGGAUUAUUUCAAGG
rnacentral:rRNA from 1 species